rnacentral:lncRNA from 1 species
CUGAGCCGACUUAAGGGGGCAACGGCCGCCACCGGGUUCUGGCAGCGUUAAACGUUCCCCACUACGUUUUUGGUGCCCGGUCUCGCCCUCCAAGUCGGCUGGCGCCACGGGCAAGGGGCUAGGGUAGGCUCGGGGUUGGGAAGGGGCUCGCUCAAAGAAAGUUUGCCCAGCAACUUGUGACGCGCGCCGACUGAGGCGCCCCAGGAUUGGCUGCGCUGCUGUGGGCCACGGAAAGCGACCUGUUCAGGUUUCCACUUCAAGCGUGACCCUUUUGCCUGUGGGAUGAGCUCCAGCAUGGGGUGAGGUACAGAAGAGAGACUUGAAGAGCGUGCCUUGGGACUCAAGCGCCAAACCUGUACCCUAGCGAGUGUCCUACUCCGCAUCCGUAAUGGAAGGAAAUGCACAUCUUACUCCAGAGGCACAAGAGGAGGACAUCCCAUGCGGCUACUCCUGCCCAGCGUGGUGGGGCAGCAGAAGCUCCAGAGCCCAGACUUGCAGGCUCACGGUGCAGGGUGAACCUGGCCACAGCUCACCCUGGAACAGCCACAAUGUCUGCCCCUUAGAGAAGAACCCUGAAAUCAGACCAGUUUUUGCGGCCUCCCCCUUUCCUCUCUGUUACAGUGCCCUUUCCAGGCCUUAAGAGAAGUAAAACUUAGCUGCAGCGUCAGGAGGUGGACCCCAGAGUGUGAGUGGCACGCUUCCCUGUGAACCCGUCCUCACCAUGUUUGCCACAUCUGGGGCAGUGGCAGCGGGGAAGCCUUACUCGUGCAGCGAAUGUGGCAAGAGCUUCUGCUACAGCUCAGUGCUGCUGCGACAUGAACGAGCUCACGGCGGUGACGGCCGCUUCCGUUGCCUAGAAUGCGGUGAGCGCUGUGCACGGGCUGCUGACCUCCGAGCGCACAGGCGCACGCAUGCUGGCCAGACCCUCUA